UUCCUGUUAGAAAGCUCAGUUGGUAGAGCAUGAGACUCUUAAUCUCAAGGUUGUGGGUUCAAGCCCCACACUGGGCAAA